UAGGUUUGCGCAGUGAGAGCUUUAUGUGGCUGAGCAUUUCUUCGGCCCCAGAAACAGAUUCCCUUGAGAGUGAAGAGGGUGGUGUAGUAACAACAUUGAUGACAUACUGACCAGAAGUUGGAACAGACUGAGUGAGGACUUUCUGUCGUGAAUGAGCUUCUAUGGUGGUGGGAUGAUGGCCACCUCUCCACCAGAGACUGUGCUCUACAAAAGCCACCCCAGACACAAACAGGACCUGUGGGACGCUGUAGCUCUUACAUCAUGUAGACUGCAUCAAAUGCUCCAUGCCCAUGGGGGAAAGUGGGGACUGGUGGACAGUGAUGCUAUCGACGACCGCUCAGGGCUGGCAGCAUGGCUUCAGUGGACACAGCGAUGGCCUCCAAACCUUCCGGAACCCACGUAAGUGAUGGAUGCUGACCGGGAAGUGUUAGCCAAAGAAAUCCCCUGCCUCCCCUGCAGGGCGUCUUAUGAUAGCAACGAAUGAAACUAAAGGUCAUUGAGCCUGAAGCUGGCUGACUUGGCUAGAUUGAUUGGCAAGCAAGCUCCAGGGAUUCCCCCUUUCUCUGCCUCCACACACCAAGUUACAGGAGCACGCUGCCAUAUACAACUUCUUCAUGAACGCUGGAAAUCAAAUUUGGGUGCCCUUAUGCUUAUACAGCAAGCACUUUACCAACUGAGCCAUCACCUAGCCCUCAAAUUAUUAUUAAUUUUAAUACAAAAUGUCAAACAAUGGUACAGAGCAAAGAACAACCAUACAGUGCUUUUUUAUUGAUGAGUUUUUCUUUGGGCUCCUAAAUUGAAAAUCCCAGAAAACCUGGACUCAGUUAUGGCUCUGAUCCUCCUUGGUGGUAUGAUUUGGAGCUUGUCAUUCUCUCUCUCUCUCUCCCUCCCUCUCUCUCUCUCUUUCUCUCUCUCUUUCACACA